GGUAUCUGCAUCAAUUAAACACGGACGGGAGGUUACGGUGACAUGGAGGGAGCCAGGAGCAAACGGCUCAGUUCAUCAAGCUGAGGGGGAAGAACGACGGCCUCUUCACCAGGGACAAACAUUCAGCAACCGUAGCUUUGGAUUGAGACAUUAGUCCAUUUGUAAUAUCUCCAUCUGACCAUCCUGUACUUAAGGUUACAGUUACAUUAGCUCUACUCCUAAAGCCUUUACUAAUAGGACAACCAGUAGAGAGGACAAUACACUUCUGAUGUGUUAUUGUGAUGUCACCUUUUUCUUUCUUUUAUUUAAAUUGAAAUAAGACAUCCAUGUAAAUGAUUUCUAUGUGAAUAUGUAUAUAUUCUGCUGUGUAAAAUUUGUCAAUUUUCUAAGUUUGCAUCCAUGUGUUAACAUUAUUGAUAAAUGUUUCUCUGU